UUCGAAAAGGUAGGGUCUUGGAUCUUGGUAGUCGAAGUCAUCAUCUUCGUCUAUCGUGUAAUCUUCCAUAUUCAUCGCCAUUAGAACUCUUAGAGAAAGCCCACCUGUCAGUGUCAGCCUAGUUGCAGAGAACUUGGUAGUCACGCUGGUGUAUUGCCGGAAGUUGAGGGUUUACAGAUGCUGCGUGGUGUCUUUGCGCCUGGCAGCGGUGCUUUGCCGGUGCUAUGCCCGAAAAUAGUUCCAAAUCUAAAUUGGUCUAGUAAAUCCCUUUGUGUUAAUUUGCAUUGAUAUUUGUACUCGAUGUGAAUGUACAGGUUACGAGAAAUAAUUAUAAAAAAUCUUGAGUUAUUUGAUUCACUUUUGCACCGACAUGCUAGCUGGCAUCUCCGGAUUACAGCGACUACGCUAAGCUAAAGCUAACCGGGCCGUUUCUAGAUUAGGACAAUGGCUGGGUCGGCUAUGAAACGCUUUGGCUCACUCAUCCAACUCUAGGGACUGCGGGGAGUGACCCAAUUUCACCUAGGGGUGGCGUAUUCCUUUAAACAAUGUGCUUGUGAUGUAUGUAUG